GGUUUUAAUUACUAUAGGAGGAUAUAAAACGGACAAAUGACUCUUAUCGGUCAAGAGGAUGAGAUCAGCUCUCUUGGUCUAAAAAUGUGCAGUAGUUUAGACGGAAAAGGCACCGGCAAAGCUAAAAUAUUCCAAGCCAAGGUUACGUAACUCAAUCCAUCAGCACAACAAGAGUCGGAAGAGAAACAACAGCUUCUAUAUUUAUUUUUGCUAUAUCAACGAAAGCUUACUUGUACGAAACGACAAAAAAGGAUCUGAGAACGUGACUAUUCUUGUCAAGAGUAGACAAAUCAACUCUAUAAAUUUUUAUGUUGAAAGAUCAACAGCCUACUACAUUCCA